CAGAGAUGAGAAUGUGCCUUCGGGAACCGUGAGACAGGUGCUGCAUGGCUGUCGUCAGCUCGUGUUGUGAAAUGUUGGGUUAAGUCCCGCAACGAGCGCAACCCUUAUCCUUUGUUGCCAGCGGUCCGGCCGGGAACUCAAAGGAGACUGCCAGUGAUAAACUGGAGGAAGGUGGGGAUGACGUCAAGUCAUCAUGGCCCUUACGACCAGGGCUACACACGUGCUACAAUGGCGCAUACAAAGAGAAGCGACCUCGCGAGAGCAAGCGGACCUCAUAAAGUGCGUCGUAGUCCGGAUUGGAGUCUGCAACUCGACUCCAUGAAGUCGGAAUCGCUAGUAAUCGUGGAUCAGAAUGCCACGGUGAAUACGUUCCCGGGCCUUGUACACACCGCCCGUCACACCAUGGGAGUGGGUUGCAAAAGAAGUAGGUAGCUUAACCUUCGGGAGGGCGCUUACCACUUUGUGAUUCAUGACUGGGGUGAAGUCGUAACAAGGUAACCGUAGGGGAACCUGC
rnacentral:rRNA from 1 species